rnacentral:rRNA from 1 species
CCCUUAGAUGUUCUGGGCUGCACGCGCGCUACACUGAUGCGCUCAACGAGUUUACGACCUUGCCCGGAAGGGUUGGGUAAUCUUUUUAAAACGCAUCGUGAUGGGGAUAGAUUAUUGCAAUUAUUAAUCUUUAACGAGGAAUUCCUAGUAAGCGCGAGUCAUCAGCUCGUGCUGAUUACGUCCCUGCCCUUUGUACACACCGCCCGUCGCUCCUGCCGAUUGAGUGAUCCGGUGAAUAAUUCGGACUGCAGCAGUGUUCAGUUCCUGAACGUUGCAGCGGAAAGUUUAGUGAACCUUAUCACUUAGAGGAAGGAGAAGUCGUAACA